rnacentral:rRNA from 1 species
UACGAAGGGGGCUAGCGUUGUUCGGAAUUACUGGGCGUAAAGCGUUUGUAGGCGGUUGAACAAGUCAGUGGUGAAAGCCCAGAGCUUAACUCUGGAAUUGCCAUUGAAACUGUUCAGCUAGAGAGUGUUAGAGGAAAGUGGAAUUCCUAGUGUAGGAGUGAAAUCCGUAGAGAUUAGGAGGAAUAUCGAUGGCGGAGGCAGCUUUCUGGGACAUUUCUGACGCUGAGAAACGAAAGCGUGGGUAGCAAACAGG